rnacentral:rRNA from 1 species
GACGAACGCUGGCGGCGUGCCUAAUACAUGCAAGUCGAACGCAGUGGGGACGGGUGAGUAACACGUGGGUAACCUCCCAUCAGAGGGGAUAACACUUGGAAACAGGUGCUAAACCGAUAUUGAUGGAUGGACCCGCGGUGCAUUAGCUAGUUGGGGAGGUAACGGCUCACCAAGGCCACGAUGCAUAGGCGCCCUAAGGGGAGGAUCGGCCACACGGGGACUGAGACACGGCCCAAACUCCGACGGGAGGAAGCAGGAGGGAAUCUUCGGGAAUGGGCGAAGGGCUGACCGAGCAAAGCCGCGUAAGUGAAGAGGGUUUUCGGUUCGUAAACCACGGUGGUUAGCGAAGCGGUAUCUAACAAAAAAGCCACGGCUAACUACGUGCAAGAGGCCGCGUAAUAC